CCUACGGGUGGCUGCAGUAGGGAAUCUUCCACAAUGGGCGAAAGCCUGAUGGCGCAACGCCGCGUGGGUGAAGCAGGUCUUCGGAUUGUAAAACCCUUUUGUUAGAGAAGAAAGUGCGUGAGAGUAACUGUUCACGUUUCGACGUUAUCUAACCAGAAAGCCACGGCUAACUACGUGCCAGCAGCCGCGGUAAUACGUAGGUGGCAAGCGUUAUCCGGAUUUAUUGGGCGUAAAGGGAACUCAGGAGGUCUUUUAAGUCUGAUGUGAAAGACUUCGGGUUAACCGGAGUAGUGCAUUGGAAACUGGGAGACUUGAGUGCAGAAGAGGAGAGUGGAACUCCAGGUGUAGCGGUGAAAUGCGUAGAUAUAUGGAAGAACACCAGUGGCGAAAGCGGCUCUCUGGUCUGUAACUGACGCUGAGGUUCGAAAGCGUGGGUAGAAAACAGGAUUAGAUACCCGGGUAGUC
rnacentral:rRNA from 1 species